UUGACCUCGAAUCAGGUAGGGAUACCCGCUGAACUU
rnacentral:rRNA from 1 species